AGCGAACGCUGGCGGCAGGCCUAACACAUGCAAGUCGAACGAACCUUUCGGGGUUAGUGGCGGACGGUUGAGUAACACGUGGGAACGUGCCUUUAGGUUCGGCAUAACUCAGGGAAACUUGUACUAAUACCGAAUGUGCCCUUCGGGGGAAAGAUUUAUCGCCUUUCGAGCGGCCCGCGUCUGAUUAGCUAGUUGGUUGAGGUAAUGGCUCACCAAGGCGACGAUCAGUAGCUGGUCUGAGAGGAUGAUCAGCCACAUUGGGACUGAGACACGGCCCAAACUCCUACGGGAGGCAGCAGUGGGGAAUCGUGCGAAAUGGGCGAAAGCCUGACGCAGCCAGGACGGGUGAAUGAUGAAGGUAUUAGGAUUGUAAAAUUCUUUUACCGGGGACGAUAAUGACGGUACCCGGAGAAGAAGCCCCGGCUAACUUCGUG
rnacentral:rRNA from 1 species